CCAGCUCCAAGCUCUGCGCAAUCAGCUCAAUCAGCUCUCGUCCCAGCUUCUCCAUUGCCUUGCAGUAAGUCUCGUAGAGAGCACUGGAAAAAACAUAAAAAAGAUCGUUUUUCUGUUAUAGUUGUUAAGAAGAAGCGCAAGAGCUCGGGGAAGAAACGGAAGGAAAAUGGAGGCGGGGAGCUGCUGCUUACCAAUGCUGCUCAUGCUGUUCCGCGGUGUAAACUUUGAUCAUGUAGUCCUUGAUGUUUGAGUUCGGCGUGUACUGAAGCGAGAAUGUUUCCUUCCAGGGGCAUUUGGAUUUGAACCUCCCAGCAAACUUGCCGGCGAAUCCAAAGCUGUUCCCGGCGGAGCGAGCCGCUCGUAACUUGGUG
rnacentral:lncRNA from 1 species